GGAUGGGCGGCGAAGACGGCGAGUCGCGGACGACUGUAAAUCGUUUGCCUGCGGGCAAGUGAGUUCAAUUCUCACCCCAUCCACCA
rnacentral:tRNA from 1 species